UGGGUCCGUGGAUGUGUGAACAGAGCAGAUGGAACGAAGAAAAUUGGAUUGUACUCCAUUCCAAAGGUCAGACAACAUGAAGGGGAUUUCACUAAAUCGCUCACAGAGGAACGUCAUCGUCUCUGGUUGGCAAAUAUUAAGAGGAAAGAUGAACCCUCGAAACAUGUCAGGGUCUGCUCGGACCACUUCAUUACAGGUCGCCCUGCUAACAUGUACGACCGGAAAAAUCCUGACCGCGCGCCAACAUUGAAACUCGAAAAGAUGACUCCUACCGAAUCUCUGAAAAAGCAUGCUGAGCUUGAGAGAAAGCAAAACAGUUUUGUGUCUAAACAGAUUUCAGAGAACAGCAAAAAGGCAGGAAACAAAGAUGAGGAACGAUGCAGCCAGUGCUCUUCUUCACCUCCAGGACAGCUGCCAGCACACCCCCGUGGACAUUGUACAACCAGCGUCUCCUGAAGUUCUAGCCCAGGGGUGGGCAAACUAUUCCACAUAGGACCGCAGUGGGUGCGGGUUUUUGCUGCAACCCAUUAAGAGGACACAUUUUCACCAAUCUGCUGUUUUACAAAUGCAAUCAUUUGAUUGCAGUCAGGUGCUUCUCAUUUCUGCUGAAACCUCAUUGGUUAUACUAUCUGUGCUGGGUCAGUUGGAACAAAGACCAGGACCCACUGCGGCCCUCGAGGACCGGUUUGCCCACCCCUGGUCUAGCCGAUACUGAUGGCGCUGAAGCAUCCACCAGUUCCAUCGUCCAAGUGACUCAAGUCCAAGUAGACAGUGAAGUCCAGAGACUCUUAUCAGAGAAAAUGACAUUACGGGCAGAGCUGGAAUCUUUGCUGUUGAUAAUGCUGAUGAAAAUGCAAUGAAUUUACAUUAAAUAUUAAUUACAGAAUAUACUUUUUGCACAUUACAGUUUUCUGCAAAUGAAAUUACAAAUGCAAAUAACUGAUGAAAUGAGUUCAUUUACCUGCACACUAAUUAUCUGAUUAUUAACAGACCUCUUCAGUUAUUCAAAUCAAAUCCUAAUCAAUAACAUACAGCCUCCCCCAACUCCCUGGUUGGGAGGUAUUAACAAAUGUAAACAAAAAAUGUAAACAAUAACAUCAGA